UACGGGGGGGCAAGCGUUGUUCGGAAUUACUGGGCGUAAAGGGCGCGUAGGCGGCCUGAUAAGUAGGGGGUGAAAUCCUGCGGCUUAACCGCAGGGCUGCCUUCUAAACUGUCAGGCUGGGAGCACAGUAGAGGCAGGUGGAAUUCCCGGUGUAGCGGUGGAAUGCGUAGAGAUCGGGAAGAACACCAGUGGCGAAGGCGGUUACCUGGAGCUUUGCUGACGCUGAUGCGCGAAAGCGUGGGGAGCGAGUCCGG
rnacentral:rRNA from 1 species